AACCUGCCCCUGACUCUGGGAUAAGCGGUGGAAACGCCGUCUAAUACCGGAUACGACCCGCCACCUCAUGGUGGAGGGUGGAAAGUUUUUCGGUCAGGGAUGGGCUCGCGGCCUAUCAGCUUGUUGGUGGGGUAACGGCCUACCAAGGCGAUUACGGGUAGCCGGCCUGAGAGGGCGACCGGCCACACUGGGACUGAGACACGGCCCAGACUCCUGCGGGAGGCAGCAGUGGGGAAUAUUGCGCAAUGGGCGAAAGCCUGACGCAGCGACGCCGCGUGGGGGAUGACGGCCUUCGGGUUGUAAACCUCUUUUACCACCAACGCAGGCUUCCAGUUCUCUGGAGGUUGACGGUAGGUGGGGAAUAAGGACCGGCUAACUACGUGCCAGCAGCCGCGGUAAUACGUAGGGUCCGAGCGUUGUCCGGAAUUAUUGGGCGUAAAGAGCUCGUAGGCGGCGUGUCGCGUCUGCUGU
rnacentral:rRNA from 1 species